rnacentral:misc_RNA from 1 species
GAUGAAGAACGCAGCGAAAUGCGAUACGUAAUGUGAAUUGCAAAUUCAGUGAAUCAUCGAGUCUUUGAACGCACAUUGCGCCCCCUGGUAUUUCGGGGGGCAUGCCUGUCCGAGCGUCAUUGCUGCCCUCAAGCACGGCUUGUGUGUUGGGCCCCGUCCUCCGAUUCCGGGGGACGGGCCCGAAAGGCAGCGGCGGCACCGCGUCCGGUCCUCGAGCGUAUGGGGCUUUGUUACCCGCUCUGUAGGCCCGGCCGGCGCUUGCCGAUCAACCCAAAUUUUUAUCCAGGUUGACCUCGGAUCAGGUAGGGAUACCCGCUGAACUUAAGCAUAUCAAUAAGCGGAGGA